AGAGUUUGAUCCUGGCUCAGGAUGAACGCUGGCGGCGUGCCUAAUACAUGCAAGUCGAGCGAACGGAUGAGAAGCUUGCUUCUCUGAUGUUAGCGGCGGACGGGUGAGUAACACGUGGAUAACCUACCUAUAAGACUGGGAUAACUUCGGGAAACCGGAGCUAAUACCGGAUAAUAUUUUGAACCGCAUGGUUCAAAAGUGAAAGACGGUCUUGCUGUCACUUAUAGAUGGAUCCGCGCUGCAUUAGCUAGUUGGUAAGGUAACGGCUUACCAAGGCAACGAUGCAUAGCCGACCUGAGAGGGUGAUCGGCCACACUGGAACUGAGACACGGUCCAGACUCCUACGGGAGGCAGCAGUAGGGAAUCUUCCGCAAUGGGCGAAAGCCUGACGGAGCAACGCCGCGUGAGUGAUGAAGGUCUUCGGAUCGUAAAACUCUGUUAUUAGGGAAGAACAUAUGUGUAAGUAACUGUGCACAUCUUGACGGUACCUAAUCAGAAAGCCACGGCUAACUACGUGCCAGCAGCCGCGGUAAUACGUAGGUGGCAAGCGUUAUCCGGAAUUAUUGGGCGUAAAGCGCGCGUAGGCGGUUUUUUAAGUCUGAUGUGAAAGCCCACGGCUCAACCGUGGAGGGUCAUUGGAAACUGGAAAACUUGAGUGCAGAAGAGGAAAGUGGAAUUCCAUGUGUAGCGGUGAAAUGCGCAGAGAUAUGGAGGAACACCAGUGGCGAAGGCGACUUUCUGGUCUGUAACUGACGCUGAUGUGCGAAAGCGUGGGGAUCAAACAGGAUUAGAUACCCUGGUAGUCCACGCCGUAAACGAUGAGUGCUAAGUGUUAGGGGGUUUCCGCCCCUUAGUGCUGCAGCUAACGCAUUAAGCACUCCGCCUGGGGAGUACGACCGCAAGGUUGAAACUCAAAGGAAUUGACGGGGACCCGCACAAGCGGUGGAGCAUGUGGUUUAAUUCGAAGCAACGCGAAGAACCUUACCAAAUCUUGACAUCCUUUGACAACUCUAGAGAUAGAGCUUUCCCCUUCGGGGGACAAAGUGACAGGUGGUGCAUGGUUGUCGUCAGCUCGUGUCGUGAGAUGUUGGGUUAAGUCCCGCAACGAGCGCAACCCUUAAGCUUAGUUGCCAUCAUUAAGUUGGGCACUCUAAGUUGACUGCCGGUGACAAACCGGAGGAAGGUGGGGAUGACGUCAAAUCAUCAUGCCCCUUAUGAUUUGGGCUACACACGUGCUACAAU
rnacentral:rRNA from 1 species